CGUUGGAAUGGCGUUUAAUGAGGACGUUAACUGUCAUGACCCAUUAUUAGGGUUCAAACCCACGUCUCCGUGGUAAGCAGCCGGCACCUUGUCUCCAACACCACCACUCCCCUUCUGCCGCAAAACAUUGCCAAUUAUAUAGGUAAUUUGUACAGCAUAUGCUGUAUGCAGGUCUAGAAUUUUCUCCUUUUUAUAUAGAUAUUCUGUAAAUAUAUGUACAAUCCAUAUAAAUCUGAAGUCCAGAAGAUUUUUCAGUAUAAAUUUAUAUAGACUGGUUGUAUGAGAUCUGUUAAAAUUACAAUUUAAAUCAUAACUGCAAGUUAAAAUGAAAUUUUUCACUCAUUACAUUAGCAUGUAGAUCUAGAUUAAAAACAUAGAAAUUAUUUUAUACAGAUGGAUCACUUUAUUUUUUUCACAUUUUCCAAAAAUUCAAAGUUGUCAAUAUUGACAGAAAAUCACACAAAGAAACCUUCAUAUGCAUUCUAAGUUUAACCCUGCAGUUUUGACUAAACUGUACUGUAAUUCAGAUAUCGAUACAUCAUUGAAUACACCAAAUCUUUAAUUAAAUUUAUUGACCGAAAGAUGUUUAAAUUUUCGGAUAAAAUUGAGCUUCUUCUAAAGAGCAGUUCAGCUCAAAGGAGAAAUAUACUGUACAAGUUCCCGAAUAUUACUGCGAGUGUCAAUUUUUAGAAGAAUAUGUCCCCGGCCCCCCACCCCACCCCCGCCCUAUCAUACCUGGGACCUACGCUUAAGCAAAUUAUGUAUUUAUGAGGGUACAUCAGAAAUACUGAUGACCUGAACUUCAAACUUCUGAAAAAUAAGCUUGUUUCUUGAAAUAAAUUAGGUUAUUUUAGUGUCAAUAUUUUGUUUUUGUUGUUGUUGUUGUUGUUGUUGUAGUAUUUCAUUAUGUAAAGCUGACUUCGUAGCGAUAGGUUCGAAUCUAUAUUUUGCAUUUAUAAUUUCGUUUAUUUUAAUUUAAGUUGUCGAAUAUACUGUAAUAUCAUUGAACUUAAAUAUUUUUUCGUAAAUUUACUUUGAGUAUCUCCUUCUUAAAAAGAAACGUUGAUUCGGAUGUACUGAGACCUGAAUAUCUGCAUGCGCGCCGAUGUUUACAAAAGGAAUGUCCAGUAUUUUUGGUGUCUUUCGGUGAUACUUUUACACAUUAGAACAACUGAAUAAAAUCUCCUUUCAAUUAACUAUCGAUAUAUCUGGUAUUUUACGUAAGACUGAGUCCCAAUAUUAUUGCAAUUCGGUAGCAAAGAUGUUGACACCACAUGUCAUCUGAUGAUGAGUUUUACAGGAUCGAAUAAGGUUUGGUCAUUGUAUUCCCUGAAAGGAACAAGAGGAGAAAAGAAACUGGAAGACCUGCAUGCCUAUCCGCAGGCCAAUGCUGGCUGCAGGUCAAUAUUGAAUGCUCAUGAAAACUCAUAAGACAAUUACAAAAAAAAAGAAGCUGAGGAUGCUGUUUUUAAAACAUGUUCCAUUCAAAAAUGGUGGAUUGAAAUUUAAGAAAGGUGUGACGGGUGCGGCUACUGCAGGCAGGGAGGAUUUGACGGUCAGCCAGAGGAUUUGGAGUUAUACUGUAAUGUCUUUAAUGUGGACUUGCGUGUGAUUUAAGUUUUCACAAGGGUUUUAGUGUGUGUGAAAGUAUGUCAGUUUUCAAAAUUGAGCUAUGACAAUUUGCUCAAACUACAUAACUCAAAGAACUUUGAAGCGGUCUUGUUGACGUCAUGAGCUUUUGUUUAAUACCAGUAUUGGUGAUAUAGGCCCAUGAUUAUAUACUGUAGAAAGUGAACAAGUUCACUGCUCGAUACAGAUAAUCAUAUGGCCUGAUCUCUGAAUGAUAUUUAUGAACCAAAAGAAGGCAUAAAAUAAAAACAUACUGUAGUGAUUUAAAUUAUUGAUAUU